AAAUUGAAGAGUUUGAUCAUGGCUCAGAUUGAACGCUGGCGGCAGGCCUAACACAUGCAAGUCGAACGGUAACAGGAGAAGCAGCUUGCUGCUU
rnacentral:rRNA from 1 species